rnacentral:rRNA from 1 species
GACAGAGGUGCCGAGCGUUAGGCGGAAUCACUGGGCUUAAAGCGUGUGUAGGUGGAUGCCUAAGUACCUUGUGAAAUCCCACGGCUUAACCGUGGAACUGCUUGGUAUACUGGGUGUCUUGAGCCAGCUAGGGGCUACCGGAACAAAUGGUGGAGCGGUGAAAUGCGUAGAUAUCUGGAGGAACACCGGUGGCGAAGGCGGCAUCCUGGACCGACACUGACGCUGAGGAGCGAAAGCCAGGGGAGCAAACGGG